CCUACGUGAGGCAGCAGUGGGGAAUAUUGCACAAUGGGGGAAACCCUGAUGCCGCGACGCCGCGUGAGUGAAGAAGUAUUUCGGUACGUAAAGCUCUAUCAGCAGGGCAGAAAAAAAGCCCUUUGGACUUUGGACGGUACCUGACCAAGAAGCCCCGGCUAACUACGUGCCAGCAGCCGCGGUACUACGUAGGGGGCAAGCGUUAGCCGGAUUUACUGGGUGUAAAGGGAGCGUAGACGGCAGCGCAAGUCGGGAGUGAAAUGCCGGGGCCCAACCCCGGAACUGCUUUGGAAACUGUGCAGCUGGAGUGCAGGAGAGGUUAGCGGAAUUCCAAGUGGAGCGGUGAAAUGCGUAGAUAGUAGGAGGAACACCAGUGGCGAAGGCGACUUACUGGACUGUAACUGACGUUGAGGCGCGAAAGCGUGGGGAGCAAACAGGAUUAGAUACCCGGGUAGUC
rnacentral:rRNA from 1 species